rnacentral:rRNA from 1 species
UACAGAGGGGGCAAGCGUUAUUCGGAAUUAUUGGGCGUAAAGGGCGCGUAGGCGGCCUGGCAAGUGGAAGGUGAAAUCCCUCGGCUUAACCGAGGAACUGCCCUCCAAACAGCUUGGCUUGAGUCCGGGAGAGGUGAGUGGAAUUCCCAGUGUAGCGGUGAAAUGCGUAGAUAUUGGGAGGAACACCAGUGGCGAAGGCGGCUCACUGGACCGGUACUGACGCUGAUGCGCGAAAGCGUGGGGAGCAAACGGG